UGGCUGGAGAUCUACAUGGCUACGCUUCCGCUAUCAUACGAGAAGGCAUAGAAAGAGAGGUUAGCAUCCUGUUGAUGAACACAAGGUAUUGUGGUUGAUAAAGACAAAAUUCGUUGUGGUUUUUUGUUGGGAUAUUAUAAUAGUUAUAGCAAAAAGGCAAAGUGGGUAUUGCUUCAAUGUGGAUAAGCGUUGGAUCAUCUCGGCCUGUGAAAGCCACUGCUAAGGAGAGUUGUGAAUGUGGUUUUGAAGAUGAUGUGAAUGCAGGCCAGUAGGAUCAACUUCCUCAAUCAGACAUAAUCAGGCCAGUAUUUGAAGGAAAUUCGUACUCUACCGAUGAAAUAGAUGGGAUUCGAGACUUAUGAGCAAAAUAUUUUUUGGAAGAGUAUGUGUAACUUUUAUUUUAGAUUAUAUGUUAUAUUGCAUUGAUAUAAAGUAUUGUAUUGAUAGUAUUUGGUUGAGUGUUGAUAAUAUUGUGUUUUGAUAGUUUGUUGA